CCUUCUCUCCGCGCUAUCGCGGUGCGUACGCGCAUCGAGGAAAGUCCGGACAGCAUAGGGCAAUACACCGGCUAACGGCCGGGGAAUGGGUAACCAUUCACAGACAGUGCCACAGAAAAUAACUACCUCUUAAGGAGGAAAAGGUGAAAAUGUAGGGUAAGAGCCUACAGCGUUUUCCAGUAAUGGACAACGGGGGUAAACCUUGUAUGCUGAAAUGCCAUGUAUACCGGUGGUCGAGAGCGGCCCGUUCAAGUUUACAGCGAUGUGAACACGCCGGAGGGUAGGCAGAUAGAUCUCGCCAGUAAUGGCGCGACCAGAUAAAUGGUAGCGAUCCGCUAAGGUGCAAACCUCGGCGGAAACAGAAUCCGGCUUACAGGAGAGAAGAUUUU
rnacentral:RNase_P_RNA from 2 species